UACAGGGGGUGCAAACGUUGCUCGGAAUCAUUGGGCGUAAAGCGCACGUAGGCGGUUCGUUAUGUCGGAUGUGAAAGCCCUUGGCUUAACCGAGGAAGUGCAUCCGAAACUGGCGAGCUAGAGUACUAAAGAGGAUCGCGGAAUUCCCGGUGUAGAGGUGAAAUUCGUAGAUAUCGGGAGGAACACCGGUGGCGAAGGCGGCGAUCUGGGUAGAUACUGACGCUGAGGUGCGAAAGCGUCGGG
rnacentral:rRNA from 1 species